rnacentral:rRNA from 1 species
AUUGAACGCUGGCGGCAGGCUUAACACAUGCAAGUCGAGCGAGCGGCGGACGGGUGAGUAAUGUCUGGGAAACUGCCUGAUGGAGGGGGAUAACUACUGGAAACGGUAGCUAAUACCGCAUACCAUCAGCUUUGCCCAGAUGGGAUUAGAUAGUAGGUGGGGUAAUGGCUCACCUAGGCGACGAUCCCUAGCUGGUCUGACAGGAUGACAAGGCACAGUAGAAAUGAGAAACGGUCCAGACGCAUACGGGAGGCAGCAGUGGGGAAUAUUGCACAAUGGGCGCAAGCCUAAUGCAGCCAUGCCGCGUGUGUGAAGAAGAACUUCGGGUUGUAAAGCACUUUCAGCGAGGAGGCAUUACUAGCAGAAGAAGCACCGGCUAACUCCGUGCCAGCGGCCGCGGUAAUAG